CGACUAUUCAGAAAUGUUCCUACAUGCCUCUGGAUUAGGAGCCCAGGUCACCGAGCCCGGAGGGUGAAUCUCAGACUUUGCCUGAGGGAACCGUUACUGCACCAAGAAGUCACUUCUGAGACUGCGAGUGUGACAAGUUCUGCGUGGAGUGACAACAUUUACUGAGUGGCUCAGGAAAUUGCAAUACUUUCAACAGAUUCCAGGAAAGACUGGACCUGAGAUGGUUGGUGACACAAUGCAAACAAGUCUUCAAGCCUGAAGGGUCAAAAUGGCCAGAACUGAGUGGUGGCCUUGUAUCCAUUUUGAAAAGCUCUAGUUGGUUUUCAGGUUCCACCACAGCAUUGAAACAGUCUGAAUGUUUCAGAGAAGACACUAAACCAAGUUUCCAUCCACAAGAUACUAUUCAAAGUGGAUCAGGGGAAUUCUUCCUGGUAUCUUGGCCAAUACUCAUGACUCAACCACCAAUUACAAACAAUGUUAUUAUAUUGCCAUUUGUGGGAGCCUUGCUCUGUGUAAAAUGCCUGUCCUGUUUCCAACAUUACAGUGACUGCACGUCCAAAUGAUUUUAUUUUUAUUCAUUCAUGGGAUGAGGACAUCACUGGCUAGACCAGGGGGCAGUUAAGAGUCAACCACAUUGUGGGUCUGGAGUCAAGUGUAGGCCAGACCAGGUAAGGAUGGCAGUUU